CUACUUAUCAUGGGACAUUCCACCACCUUAAUCAGAAGGCCACCACACCAUGCAAGGACUACCUCAGCGAUGUUGGAUUUAAAUGGAGUAAGUUUGGUUUUAUAAGUUAGUUUGACUUGAUUUAAAUUACUUCGAGUUUGUUUUUGGUAAAUUCCGAUCAAAUUCAAGCUAUACUGUAUGACUCAAUUGAAAAGAACUAAACUUGAAUUAAAUGAAGUUUGGUUUGAUUUGACUCGGACGACAACAAUCAAUCCGGUUUCAUUCAAGCUGGAUCAUGAUCAUGGCUUGCAUCAAGGCCGUUCAAGUUGCUAAAAACGUUGUCCUUUCAAAUCAGAAGAUAUAAACCCCCGUUUCCAUCCCAGAAUAUUUUCUCUCUUACUAACACAAAAUCUCAGCUUCGUUCAUUUAUCGCAUUCGCUCUCUGGUCUCCAUUGCGAUUUCUUGAUUUCACAUCUUCAUUUUGAGACUGAAAACAAGCAAGCACACAUAAAUCCACCGCCAUCUCUCUCCAGUUCGCAGGUCGUUGCAGUCGAAGAAAAUUUCAUCUCGGCCAGCGGCGAUUCCGAUUACACAUCUCUGUCUUGCUGUCGUCGCCUGGUUCACCAUAUAUUUUCUAGUUUUCAUCUUCAGCGCUAUGGUUAAUUGUUUUGUAGUGAGCGAGAGUAGAAGAACUUUGUGGAGACAAUGCACUUUCUGGGUUUGAUACGAGUUUGGCAAAGAAAUUUGUUAAAAUGUGAUAUAUUCCAAAGCAAGAUCCUUGUAACAAUGAAUUCAUUGUUAUUGACUGUUGCAGGAGAAACUACAGAAACAGGGCAGUGUUCCAUUCAUUAUUCAACUCAUGCAGCAGCUGAAGAUACCAAUGAUAAGGGGAUUGGAAAAAUGACUUUGGCAAAAACCUUAGCCUUUCUUGUUGACGAAUCUUCUAAUUCUGAUGAGAAAAGACCCAAGAGUCGAAUGGAGUUCAAGAGGUCUCUUGAACUCCGCAUAAAGAAAAGAGUGAAGGAGCAAUACAUGGACGGGAAGUUUCAAGAUCUAAUGGAAAAAGUUAUUGCCAAUCCAAAAACCCUUCGAGAUUCUUACGACUGUGUUAGACUCAACUCAAAUGUUGAUAUUGGUGUAAAUGAUGGCUGUGUAUCUUUUGAAUCUUUGGCAAAAGAGCUCUAUAGUCGACAAUUUGAUGUCAAAGCUAAUACCUUCUCCAUCUCGACAAAAGGAUCAAUCAAAGAAGUUCUUAUUCUUCCAAAUCUAAAGUUAAAAAUAGUUCAAGAAGCAAUCAGGAUAGUUUUGGAGCUUGUUUACAGGCCCUUCUUUUCUAAAAUUUCACAUGGUUGUCGUAGUGGGAGGGGACACUACUCAGCAUUGAAGUACAUCAGAAAAGAGAUUUCCAGUCCUGAUUGGUGGUUUACAUUGCACUUAAAUAAAAAAGCAGAUCCUUGUGUCCUUGCCAAGCUCAUCUCUGUAAUGGAGGACAAGAUAGAAGAUCCUGGCUUAUAUGAUAUCAUUAGGAGCAUGUUUGAUGCUCAAGUACUCAAUUUAGAGUUUGGUGGUUUCCCAAAAGGCCAAGGUCUUCCUCAAGAAGGAGUAUUGUCCUCUAUACUAAUGAAUAUAUAUCUUGACUGCUUUGACAUUGAAUUUUAUAGGUUGUCAAUGAAAUAUGAAGCUCUCCAGCCAAGUUCUCAUAUAGAUGGAGAUGGAGAUGGAGAUGCAUCCCAUUCCAAGCUUCGGACUUGGUUCAGGAGACAACUAAAAGAGAAUGCUGUUAAUGAAGUGGUUGAGGAAAAUAAUUGCACUAGAGUUCAUGCUUGCCGCUUCAUGGAUGAGAUGUUUUUUGCUGUUUCUGGUUCAAAAGAAAUUGCUGUGGCUUUCAAGUCUGACAUUGUAAAUUACUUAAAGAGUUGUUUGCACUUGAACGUUGAUAAUCAAACAGAUAUAUUAUCCUGUCAGGGGCCUAAUGGGAUUUGCUUUUUGGGCACCUUGAUUAGAAGAAGUGUAAAAAAUAGGCCAGCUGUAAAGGCUGGUCACAAGUUAAAGGAAAAGGUCAAGCUAUUUGCUUUACAGAAACAAGAGGCUUGGGAUGCUGGGACUGUUAGAAUUGGGAAGAAAUGGUUAGCUCAUGGAUUAGAGAAGGUAAAAGAGUCAGAGAUCAAGCAUUUAGCUGAUACUAGCUCUACUUUGAGCCAAAUUUCUGGCUUUCGUAAAGUUGGGAUGCAAACGGACCACUGGUACAAGCUUUUAUUAAAAGUUUGGAUGCAAGAUGUUAAAGCCAAAGCAGCAGAAAGUGAGGAAUUGCUUUUAUCCAAGUAUGUUGCAGAACCAGCCCUUCCCCAAGAACUAAGAGAAUCCUUUUAUGAAUUUCAAAAGUGUGCAGAAAAGUAUGUUUCUUUGGAGACUGCUGCUACUCUUGCUCUUUUGCCAAAUUUAUGUUCUUCCACCAAAUUGGUCACCAUCACAGAAAUUGUAGCUCCUGUCAAUGCUAUAAAGAAACGUCUUUUAAGGUAUGGAUUGGUUACACCUAAAGGAUACCCCCAUUCAACUUCUCUGCUCAUCUUGCAGGAUAAGUGUCAAAUCAUUGACUGGUUUUCAGGAUUAGUUCACCGUUGGCUUAGGUGGUACAGGGAGUGUGAUAAUUUUGGUGAGAUAAAGCUCAUGAUUUCCAAUGAAGUCAAGAAAUCUUGCAUUCGCACUCUAGCAGCAAAGUAUCGAAUUCAUGAAAAUGAAAUGGAGAAUCGGCUGGAUUCAGAACUGAUUAGAUUUUCCUGUAUUGAAAAGAUUGAUCAUGAAAUGGCGAAUGGGACAUCAGAUUCACAAGCUUUUGAUAAUGAUGAUGCAUUGAACCAUGGAAUUUCUAACAGUGGGUUGUGUUUAUUAUCUUUAGCUAGAGUAGUGAGCCAGGCACGGCCUUGCAAUUGUUUCAUUUUUGGCUGCUCUGCUGCAGCACCGUGUGUUUAUACUCUUCAUGUUAUGGAAAGACACAAAUUUCCAGGAUGGAAGACAGGGUUUUCAGGUUGUAUUCAUCCCAGUUUGAAUAAAAGGCGGGUUGGGCUGUGUAAGCAACAUUUACAGGAUUUAUAUCUUGGCCGUGUUUCACUUCAAUCAAUUGAUUUUGGUGCUUGGAAAUUAAGGUUCAAGUAGUAGAGAAUAUCAUUGGAGCAGCAGGAUACCUGCCUUGUUUAGCAAGUCAAGGAUGUCUAAACCAUGAAAGUUAAUUAUGGCCUCAAAGGAACUACUCCUGUGGUAAAGAUGUGACUGAAUUGUUCUUUUGAAGAACAUAUUGGUGGAAAUGGAAGGAAUGGUGAGAUUGAAUUCACUCGAUACUGUAACCUGGCAAUAAAAUUUACCACAGUUCAUAGGUUUUGGCUUAGAUAUGAAGUUAAGCUUUGUCCUUUUCUUUGUAUAUCAUCUUUGUUUACAUGAAAAGGUGUAUUAUGGAACAUGAUUUGUUUCUGCAGGUUGUGAUGCCAAGAUCGGAGAACUUGAAACUGUCUUUGAUUAGUAUUGGAAACAUCAGGCUUCUUCAAUUUCCAGCCAUGUAUUCUUAUGGUCAAACCUUAAAAAGCUUAAGCUUGGUAAAAUGUAGUGGUUUUAAAUCUUUGUUCUCAUCUCCUAUGGUUAAGAAAAUAGUGAUACUUGCCUCAUUGAUUACUUGGUGACUUUGAAAUCAUGUAAGCCAAGCUCUGUGGUUGCAAAGGAACUGCUCUUGUGGUUGAGAUGAGAAAGAAUUCUCUCUUUAUGGAGAAUGAUUACAACGAUUACAUAAAAUUUACUCAGGCAAUAAGUGGAUUGAUUAUGUUUGUUUUCUAAUUGGCUUAUUUGUUGUUGUAAAUUUAAGUUUGAUUAGUAGUCUCAUUGUAACGUACUUAUGUUGGGUUUUACACAGGUACGUGCAUCUGCAGCUCUAGCAGCAGCCCUCAAUGUAGACAAGCUUGCAGAAAAUCAUUUAACUACUGGGACUCUUCCUGAUCCUCCCAUGUUUGAAUGAAAAGAAGAAGAUGCAAAGGGCACGCUGUAAUUGAAAGUAGAAGUAGAAGAAGCUUUCCAUUUGGGCAAAAAGAAAUGAAUUUGAGUGACAAGGAGAUUUGUGACAACUGUUGUUACUGGCACUUAAUGCGAAGCGAAGCAAAGCAAAGCAGAGCAAAGGCCAUUUACUGUUAUUCUUCUCCCAACAAGAUCAAUCUUGGCAUGGCGCUGCUUCUUGUAGUCUUUACUUGCUUCUAAUUUUUUUAUUUUGGAUGAAGAAGGGAGGCUUUGUUGUAGUUCAAAGAGUUAAAUAAGGGAGGCUUAUUGUGGUUUAAUAAGUUAGACAAGCACAGGUCAGAAUUGAUGAUGAAGGGAGACGUAUUGUGCAUUAAAUUCGGUUCUUAUCCCCGAUUCUGGUUCUUAAAGUGUUUGGAAUCGGAACUAGAAUCUACCAGUUCCAAAAAAUUGGAAUUGGAACUUAACCUCAGUAGGCCGGUUCUGAUUCCUAUCUGAACUGAAAUCUGGAUACCCUAGGAUUCUGGUUUCAGUUCGGGUAUUUUGCUCACCUUAAUUGCGUAAGUGAUAUUUAGUGUUGCAGUUA